rnacentral:rRNA from 1 species
UACGGAGGGUGCAAGCGUCAUCCGGAUUUACUGGGUUUAAAGGGUGCGUAGGUGGAUUUGUAAGUCAGUGGUGAAAUCUCCGAGCUUAACUUGGAAACUGCCAUUGAUACUAUAAGUCUUGAAUUAUCUGGAGGUGAGCGGAAUAUGUCAUGUAGCGGUGAAAUGCUUAGAUAUGACAUAGAACACCAAUUGCGAAGGCAGCUCACUACGGAUUGAUUGACACUGAGGCACGAAAGCGUGGGGAUCAAACAGG